UAGUGAUUCGGACGGGUGAGUAACGCGUGAGAAUCUGCCUUUAGAUGGGGGAUAACGGUUCGAAAGAGUCGCUAAUCCGCAUAUGACGAAAGUUGAAAGGAGUAAUCCGUCUAAAGAUGAGCCCGCGUCCGAUUAGCUAGUUGGUAGAGUAAAAGCCUACCAAGGCGACGAUCGGUAGCUGGUCUGAGAGGAUGAUCAGCCACAAUGGGAUGAGACACGGCCCAUACUCCUACGGGAGGCAGCAGUGGGGAAUUUUACGCAAUGGGCGAAAGCCUGACGUAGCGACACCGCGUGAACGAAGAAGCCUCUUGGGGUGUAAAGUUCUGUCAGCUGGAACGAAAAAAAUGACGGUACCAGCAGAGGAAGCAUCGGCUAACUACGUGCCAGCAGCCGCGGUAAGACGUAGGAUGCAAGCGUUGUCCGGAUUUAUUGGGCGUAAAGAGUUCGUAGGUGGUUUGUUAAGUUUGGUGUUAAAGAUUGGGGCUCAACCCUGAAACUGCACUGAAUACUGGCAGACUCGAGUGUGGUAGAGGCUAGUGGAAUUCCCAGUGUAGCGGUGAAAUGCGUAGAUAUUGGGAAGAACACCGGUGGCGUAGGCGACUAGCUGGGCCAUAACUGACACUGAGGAACGAAAGCCAGGGUAGCGAAUGGGAUUAGAUACCCC
rnacentral:rRNA from 1 species